GGAUCAUACCAGCACUAAUGCACCGGAUCCCAUCAGAACUCCGCAGUUAAGCGUGCUUGGGCGAGAGUAGUACUAGGAUGGGUGACCUCGAGGAAUGUCCUCGUGUUGCAUCCCUCUUUUUUUUUCGGUUUUUCUCUUUUUUUGUUUUGUUAAAAAUGUAUGACUUUAUAACUUUUAGACCGUGAGGCCAAACUUGGCAUGCCAUACCUUUUCGGAAAGCCCAAAGAGAGUUCUCCAAUGAAUGAGGAAGGAAAAUGGAAUUCUUCUAUUGUUUUUUUUCUACUCCAAAUUUUGAUCUUAAUGUAUUUUUUCGGGCCUUUUCUUGAUCUUUGCUAUAUUACGAGGCGAAAAAUUAUAUGUUUGGACAUUGUUUUCGAAUAUUUUGCAUGUAUCAAAGCUCUUAUAAACAAGAUAGGGUAUUCCUACAUAGCUGGUGGGACCCACGACAAAUAGAUCAUAAAGUAUUCAAAAAAGAAUAGAUACGAUUGCAAUGCAUGUAGUAACGGAUGCUAUCAUACUAGCACUAAUGCACCGGAUCCCAUCAGAACUCCGCAGUUAAGCGUGCUUGGGCGAGAGUAGUAUGAGGAUGGGUGACCUCCCGGAAAGUCCUCAUGUUGCAUCCCUCUUUUUUUCGGUUUUUCUCUAUUUUGUAUUGUUAAAGAUGUAUGACUCUAUACCUUUAAGACCGUGAGGCCAAACUUGACAUGUSAUACCAUUUCGGAAAUCCCAAAGAGAGCUCUCCGAUGAAAGAGGAAGGAAAAUGGAAUUCUUCUUUUGUUUUUUUUUCUACACCAAAUUUUGACCUUAAUGUACUUUUUCGAGCCUUUUCGUGAUCUUUGCUAUAUUACGGGGCGAAAAUUAUAUGUUCGGACAUUGUUUUCGGAUAUUUUGUAUCUAUCAAAGCUCUUAUAAACAAGAUAGGGUAUUCCUACAUAGCUAGUGGGAUCCACGACAAAUGGAUCAUAAAGUCUUCAAAAAAGAAUAGAUACGAUUGCAUUCCAUGUAGUAACAUAUGCGAUUGCAUUCCAUGUAGUAACAUAUGCGAUCAUACCAGCACUAAUGCACUGGAUCCCAUCAGAACUCCGCAGUUAAGCGUGCUUGGGCGAGAGUAGUACGAGGAUGGGUGACCUC
rnacentral:lncRNA from 1 species